rnacentral:snRNA from 1 species
GUGCUCGCGUCGGCAGUACUAAAAUUGGAACGAUACAGAGAAGAUUAGCAUGGCCCCUGCGCAAGGAUGACAAGCAAAUUCGUGAAGCGUUCCAUAUUUUU